CAAAUACUCCCUCCGUCCGAAAAUACUUGUCUUAAGGAUAAAUGUAUGUAGACUUAUUUUAGUUAUAGAUACAUUCAUUAUAUUCAUUUCUAGGACAAGUAUUUUCAGACGGAGGGAGUACUAA
rfam:Hordeum vulgare subsp. vulgare, WGS project CAJW01000000 data, contig: morex_contig_39043